UACAGAGGUCUCAAGCGUUGUUCGGAUCCAUUGGGCGUAAAGGGUGCGUAGGUGGCGCGCUAAGUCGGGUGUGAAAUUUCGGAGCUUAACUCCGAAACUGCAUUCGAUACUGGCGUGCUUGAGGACUGGAGAGGAGACUGGAAUUCAUGGUGUAGCAGUGAAAUGCGUAGAGAUCAUGAGGAAGACCAGUGGCGAAGGCGGGUCUCUGGACAGUUCCUGACACUGAGGCACGAAGGCCAGGGGAGCAAACGGG
rnacentral:rRNA from 1 species